GAUGAACGCUGGCGGCGUGCCUAAUACAUGCAAGUCGAGCGAAGCGGGGACGGGUUAGUAACACGUUGAUAACCUCCUAUAAGACUGGGAUAACUUCGGGAAACCGGAGCUAAACCGGUUACUUAUAGAUGGCUCCGCGCUGCAUUAGCUAGUUGGUAAGGUAACGGCUUACCAAGGCAACGAUGCAUAGCCGACCUGAGAGGGUGAUGGGCCACACGGGAACGGAGACAAGGUCCAGACUCCAACGGGAGGCAGCAGUAGGGAAUCUUCCGCAAUGGGCGAAAGCCUGACGGAGCAACGCCGCGUGAGUGAGGAAGGUCGUCGGAUAGUAAAACUCUGUUAUGAGGGAAGCGGUACCUAAUCAGAAAGCCACGGCUAACUACGUGCCAGCAGCCGCGGUAAUAC
rnacentral:rRNA from 1 species